UACGUAGAGGGCGAGCGUUGUCCGGAGUUACUGGGCGUAAAGGGCAUGCAGGCGGUCGGACGCGUUUCGGGUGACAGCGGGUGGCUUAACUACCCGAGUGGUCGAAAGACGGUUUGACUUGAGGACGCGAGAGGGACACGGAAUUCCGGGUGGAGUGGUGAAAUGCGUAGAGAUCCGGAGGAACACCGAAGGCGAAGGCAGUGUCCUGGCGCGUAACUGACGCUGAGGUGCGAAAGCCAGGGGAGCGAACGGG
rnacentral:rRNA from 1 species